rnacentral:lncRNA from 1 species
CCCUGCCACUGCUUACUGCCUUUGUCCCAUUUUCAUGACUUUGGAGACUGUGGUCCCUUUCCUCCAUUGAUGUCAGAAAUGGGAAAGCUGCAGUGUGAAAAAUAAAAAUAAAUUAAAACCCAAAAAACAAAACAAAACAAAACAAAAAAGCUGACUACUUUUUACACUACUUCUGUUGCCCUAUCUACUCUUUUCUCUCACUUUAUUUCCUUUUUCUUUUCUUUUUCGUAUUUUCUUAAUCAAGUUCAAUUAAAUAAAAAAAUGAAUAUUUAAAAAUAACAUAUCCUCAACUAUUGUUGAAUUAUUUUAAAAAUUAAACUUUACCUUUCGAUAAAUAUUAAAUAUAAUAUUAUAAAAGUAAAUAAAUAAAUAAAUUAUAAAUAAUAAAAUAACCUAUAAUUUAAAUUGAAAUAAAAAAAGCAAUGCAAAAUAUCAAUAAUAAUUUGCAAUUCAGACACAUGACACGUCAUGAAUUCAUAUUAAGUCAACAACCACCAAAGGCCCGAUACCAAAACCACCUGUAGGUCCCGUACACUACAUUAUACGUUUAAAAUUUAGCACUCGCAGCACGCGCCAUCCUAUUGGCUUCCAGCAAGAAGGGUCCCACUUGUAUUGCCUACGCAGCCCUUCCAUGCACUAACAUACACAUUCACGUAUGGCCUGGCCCCACCAUAAAUUAACUCAGAUUUGACUAAACGUGAUGUUUCAAAUCGCAAAAUUAAAAAAAAAAAAUUAUUAUUUACAUAAUAAUAAUAUUAUUAAUAAUAUAUACUACAAAAUUACCAUUUUUAUAUCCUAUCCUACUAUUUCCUCCGUUGAUUCCGGUAAUUUUGUUACGCUGACCAAUUAUAAUUUAAAAUAGGCCCGCGAUUUUCGCUGAAAAAUUAAAAAAUAUGAAAAAUGGGAAGCUCGGAUGGAAACGGAGACCAGUAGAAAGUGAUGGAAAACAUUCCUUUGUAUGGGUUUUUGGGUUUGUAUAAAACCCCAUUUUUUCACAUUCAUCUUUUCAGCUGUUCGUCUCUUCUCUCCCUCUCCUCCCCUUCUCUUUCCCUGGACUCUGGAUCCGCCAGUUCACUGACCCGGAACUACACCCGCUUCCGCGAUGGGUUGUGUCAGCUCCAAACAGGCGGUGUCUGUCACGCCCGCAAUUGACCAGUCGGGUGGAUACAACUCGGGUCGGAUUCGGGUGGGACUGGAGAAUGACAAGGCCAGCCACAAGAGUUAUGGGAACAGCAACCACAACAAGAAUGGGGAGUUGAGUUGUGGAAGCGAGUUGGGUGAGUCUGGGAGAGAGAGUUCUAAUAGUGAAUCGGUGAGCUUUCGGUUGCGGAAUUUGCAAAAGUAUAUUGAAGGUGAACAAGUGGCCGCUGGAUGGCCCGCCUGGCUUAGUGCCGUCGCCGGCGAAGCUAUUAGGGGAUGGGUACCGCUUAAAGCCGAUGCGUAUGAGAAAUUGGAGAAGGUUGUUCAAGCUUCCGUUUCAUAUACUUGUACACAAACAUACAUUCAUGUGCAUCAAUUUUAGUUACGAUUUCAAAGAUUUUUGUUGCUCUAAAAUUGAAUUGGGUGACAUGUGAUUGGUGCAAAGAUAUUUUCUUUGUCAUUUUAUAUAUGGUAAGUGGUGUUUGGCGUUGUUUCUAUUUUGUUUGGUUCAUUGUGAAAUAAUCAUGCAAGGUUAAAUGUGAACUGCGAAGAAAAUCAUCAUUUUUACUUUUUUUCGCUAUGCAUCUUUUCCUGGGAAAGUUCAUAUUUUUAUUCUUUUCAGGAAAAUAACAAUAAUCGAGAGACUUCUUUUUUUUUUCCCCCCUCGAAAUUUAGAAUUUCUGAGCUUUUUUUUGGUUGACAGGAAUAAUUGAGAAAUUAAGAAGCUGUUAAUUCAUCUCUGCCUGGUGGAGUUCAAACUUUCUUUUCAUUUUUUUGACACAAUAUUUCUUUCUCGUGGUUCAUGAUUCUUAGAAUUGAAUUGAUAGUUUGUUCCACAUGAAUUCUUCCACUCGUGGCCCCAUACAAUGUUUUCUACUCUCAUUGAACCACCUUCCAGUCAAUUAUUUUCUGAAGAACUUUUCUUUUUGCCCUUUCUGUUACUCCGACCUGCACUUUUUAUGCAUGACUAGAAUCUUAUCUUAACAGUAUUGUACUCUAGUUAAAUUUUUUGAAGAAAUCAACUUUCCGUGUAUGCAAUAGAAUCUUCUUGAUGGCAGUAAUCUGCUAUUUGUGCUCUCCCUCUCUUAUCAUCUUCUUUUGCUACAAUGGUAUCUUCCUUUCCUUGCGUUAACUGCUGGUAUUUGACCUUAGAUUCAUAUAAACAUUACAGAUAUUCCUUCCGCCGUUCCACAUAUCAAUGGCAGCUAUGACACUUUUUUCACUGCUUCUGUUACUUCAACUGGACAAUGGACUUACUGGAUUUUCAAUUGCUUUUAUAGAUAGGACAAGGUACAUACAGCAGUGUGUUUCGAGCUCGUGAGCUGGAAACUGGGAGGAUAGUUGCUUUGAAGAAGGUUCGCUUUGAUAAUUUUGAGCCUGAGAGUGUCCGUUUCAUGGCAAGAGAGAUAUUGAUUCUCCGCAGGCUCAACCAUCCCAAUGUCAUGAAAUUGGAUGGAUUAAUUACUUCCCGUUUAUCAUGUAGCAUUUACCUGGUCUUCGAGUACAUGGAGCAUGACAUCACUGGCCUCUUGUCUUGCCCUGAUGUCAGGUUCAGUGGAUCACAGGUUAGUUCAUUUGCUGUCUGGAAUUCUAAUCGGGGUAUUUUUAGACCACAUAUAAAAAGGAAAAUCAUUUUGAUUCUUGCAGCACUUAACUAGCUGCCAUACAAUAUGAACUUCAGUCCCUAGAAUUCAAAAGUACUGGGCUUCUAAAUAAUGGGGAUUUGUUCCUUUCUCUGUUGAAGCAUAUCAAUUGUUUUAUUUUGUAGAUUAAAUGCUACAUGAAGCAAUUACUAUCUGGACUGGAGCACUGUCACUCAAAGGGUGUAAUGCAUCGAGACAUCAAAGGAUCCAAUCUUCUUGUAAACAAUGAAGGAAUACUGAAAGUGGGAGAUUUUGGAUUGGCAAACUUCUGCAAUGCUGGGCACAGGCAACCUUUAACCAGUCGUGUUGUAACUUUAUGGUACCGUCCUCCAGAACUUUUACUAGGUUCCACUGAUUAUGGAGCGUCUGUGGAUCUGUGGAGUGUUGGCUGUGUAUUUGCAGAACUUCUCCUUGGAAAACCUGUUCUUCAAGGGAGAACAGAGGUAAUUACAUGAUUGAACGACAUGAUUAUCUAGAAUUAUUCAUUUUCAUACAUUAUCUUAUUGGUGAAUAUGCUGAUUGAGGGGUUAAAGCUUUGCAUUGUGGAAUAUACAGUUUCGGUGAAAAAGCUUGUUAUCUGUCCCCUUUUCUUAUUCUGAUUUUUUGUUUAAAGGCAAAGUGUGUUUACUCAUCUGAUCAUCUCAGAAAAGUGGCUUGACAGGCUUAAUAUGCUCACUGAUGAAUAAUGUUAACAAUAAGACAAGACAGGCCUUUUUAUUUCUUAAAAUCUUCUGUAUGACAAGAGGAUAGACUGUCAGAAACAUCCUCCUGAAGCUUUUUUCAUAAUUUUAUUUUCAACGUUGGAGUGUGGAACGGCAAAAUUGUUGGAUUACAAAUCUGGGAGUCUAUAAUUCCAGCCAAUAGUCAUUAUAACAAUCCAUGAUAUGGCAAUUUGUAGGGUAUUAGAAAGAUAACUUGGUAACUGCACAAGCACCUCUUCUGGUGUUCUGUUCUGUAUAAUAAUUUUAAACAGUAUAACAUGCAGGAAAGGCAUUGGGAUGAUUAGAUAUAGCCAUUUAAUUAUGAUAUUUAUUACAAACUGACUAUUUGAUGUAAUUUUCUGGAAUUGUCCAUUUGAGUUUUAGCAUGAAUGCUUUUGGUUUCUCCUUCAGGUUGAACAAUUACACAAAAUUUUCAAGCUUUGUGGGUCCCCACCGGAUGAAUAUUGGAAAAAAUCCAAACUUCCUCACGCAACUUUGUUCAAACCACAACAACCUUAUGAUAGCUGUCUCCAUGAGACCUUUAAAGAUUUGCCAACAACUGCUGUGAACCUGAUAGAAACACUUCUGUCUGUAGAGCCAUACAAGCGUGGGACUGCCACCUCUGCUCUAGCAUCUGAGGUGAUUAUCGACUUCUUUGAAUAUGAUGUGCCAAUCACAAGAGAGAAAAUGGAAUUGAAUUUACUUUAUCUGGCUCUAUUGGUAUCACUCUAUACUGGGUGAAUUCAUGCCUAACCUCUUCAUGUUUGGUUCCCGUCUUUCAUUUAGCUCCAGUAACCUGGUCUUUGAAAAUUUUGGAAAUUUUCUGACCGUCACCUCUGGUUUUUUUUGCUAAAGUCUGAUGCAAUGCUCUUUAUAUUCAAUUUUCAGUAUUUCACAACAAAACCUUAUGCAUGUGAGCCAUCAAGCUUGCCAAAAUAUCCACCCAGCAAAGAGAUUGAUGCGAAAAACCGUGAGGAGGCAAGGAGGUUAGGAUUUUCAUUUUCCUUUUCCUUGUCUGAUGAAAAUUUUCAAUUAUUCCUCUCUGAAACAAAAAUUUUAUCAUGCCAACUUACUAAAAAGAAGAGCUGUGUCGGUCAGAUCAUCAAUGGCACUUGUGGGCAACAGCUGUACACAUGAAAUUAGCUACAUUUUAGGUUGUGUUUUUUAUCACAAUGGUCUUGGAAUCUAAUGAAGAUAAGGUCGGUCCAUUUUCUUAAAGUAUAUUGCACUGAGCCACUGUUAUAUGACCACUAUAAAGGAACAAUUUGAAAUUGGUACCAUGUAUUAAAUUCCUGAAGGUGCUUCUUAGAGCAGUCAUUUAUAGUUGGUAAAGAAACCAUAAAAUUUAUAAAUAUCUGCAGACAUCAAAUUGACUUUUUUUUUUACUAGAAAGGUAUUGCCAAACAGCUGAUGAGCUUGUAAUUGAUUGGGGUUAGUGUUUUGAAAAAUUAUGGUAAAAUAAAAUUUCAAAAAAGAAAUCUGUGGAUUGUUAACUAACUGAGAAGGUUUUUUGCACUUUCAGGAGAAAGAUCAGCGGAAGAAUUCGUGGUGCUGAAACGAGAAAGCCAACAAGAAUGCCUUGUGGAAUCAGUAAACUUGUACCAGCAGAGGUCUCUCUCUCUCUGUCUCUCUCUCACUCACUCAGACACAUGUUUUGUGGAAGCUAAUUAACAUUGAUAGGUUCUUGUUUUCCAGGAUGCAGCAACUCGAGUGCAAUGUGCUCAAAAUAAUACUGGCAAUAAUAAGUGUAUUCCUAAAGGAGGAGAUGGCAGGUCUGGUGGAGAGGCACGGAAGCCAUCUUUUGACAAAUUGGAAGAGAUUUUCCACAUAAAGAAUGCAUCCCAAGAAGACAUUCCCUUUUCUGGCCCAAUACAGGUUUCUAGUUCAAGUGGCUUUGCAUGGGCAAAGAGACAGAAGGAUGAUGCAUCAAUAAGAUCCCACAAUAGGUCUAUUUCAAGAGGUCACAGUAAUAAUGGAUUAGGAUUCUCUAAUGCAUUGCAAGAAAAGAACGGUUUUGAUUCAAGACAACAUGAUAAUGGAGAUGUUACAUAUGGCAUCCGAACCAAUUCUAGGGGUCAUGAUUCAUCUGAAAUUUCCAAGCGCACUUUGCAGAAACAGUGGAGUCAAUUUGAAAGGCCGGAUUCCUUUGAUGCUUCUGAAGGAUACCAUUCACAAGAACUGUCAUUGGCACUUUAUCAAAGAGAGGAAAUGGAAGCAAAGAGAAAUAAUUUGGUACGCUUUUGAAUAAUAAAGACACAUCUAAUUUUAGAUUUUCUCUUUGCUGAAGAUGAAAAGAAACUCUGCCUUAUGUUGCAUACUUGCAAUUUGUGAAAAAACAACUUACCAUGGACUCAACUUCUAUAAAAAUCUAAAAAUUAACAGAAAUCCAUUAAGUUCAAAAGGAAAAAUGAAGAAAACUAGUAGUUAUAUCAAUUUAACUAACUUGAGUAGGUUGGCAUAUAUCCUUCUGUUGUCUUCCUGUGUCUCUAUUUAGUUUUACAUUUGUAUUGAACAAGCCAUUGAGUUAAAUAGCCAUUUAAUGAGAAUUUGUGGCUUGACUGGGAAAUUGGCUUCAAGCGGAGCUUAAACGCACUUUAUAUAGUGGACCUCGACUAGUUUGGGAUUAAGUUAUAAAUAUAAUUGUUGUUGUUGUUACCUUGGGGUUGGCAUCUUUUCAACUUUUCUAUUAGGAAUAUAGAAAAGGCACUUGUUUUUAUUUUAUUUAAUUUUUGCCUCAUCUUGGAAGCAUUUAAGUUUAAUAAUUUUGUAUAAUAAUAAUAAAGGUAUAUGACUAAUGUUUUGAGGUUCGAUGAAUUGAAUGUCUAGAAAUUUGGAUCAAUAAUUGAGGUGGUGAUGAUGAACAUAGAGUUUAGGGACAGCACCGCAGCAGAACGCACAACUAGCGCUAGUGGUUGUCUCAGCAAGGGCAGAGAAGGGAACUAAUACUGUAUUGGUGCCGUUUAUUCUUUUCCUCCCUUUAUUUAUUUGCUUAUUUGGAAACAAGAAAGCAAACAUGAAGCUUGCCCAAUGUGAUUUGCACUAAGAUUGCCAUUGCUUAAAAGUUAAAAGCAGAAGUACCAUUGACAAACUAGACUUUAGCAAGUAAUGCAUUUUUAUUCUUGUUUUGCUUAUAUAUAGUAUAUCAAGUGCAUAAAAUGGAGACGCAUGAAUUAUAAUCGUUACUGUCUGAUGGAAUUGAACAGGGUUUUCGGGAUCAAGGAGACAAGGUUGAUUUUUCUGGACCAUUGCUAACCCAAUCAAAUAGAGUGGAUGAGCUCCUAGAAAGACACGAACGCCACAUUCGGCAGGCUGUUCGAAAGUCAUGGUUUCAAAGAGGUAUAUGAUGAUAAUAAUGAUUAUCUAAUUUUCAGUCCUUUUGCAACCUGUUUGAUCAAUUAAUCUCAGAUCUGAGGCAUGAUUUCUUAACCCUGCUAUUGUCAUACCAUGAAAAAUUGAUGAGUCAUUGGGAUAAAGGGUUGGUUUCAAUCAGCAGCAAAAGAAAAAUAAACCAACAGCUGAGAAGUAAUUGAGGACAUGUAGUCAAAGCCUAACACAUCAUUGGCCAUCACCUAUCAUUAUGAACUUAUGAUGGCAAUAACUGAUGUUCUUAUUUAUCAUAUACAGCUUCCAACACUUCUAUAUCGAAUUAUGAAAUAAACUUGAGCUAAGGUUAUGAUGUGAUGAUCAGUAAGGCUUAAUAACUCCACCAAUCAAAGUUAAAGUAAUUAGGCGAGCACUUGCUAUUUUGCUGAAUAAAGCUCAUGAAGCAUAAUUACCAGCAUGACUCAUGGUAUGAUUCUUUCUCUCAGGUAAGAAGCAUGGGAAGUGAGCAUAACCAGAUGUAUUGGCUUCAUAGAGUCCUUUUUAGGGCAGCUGCAUUUCUCUCUUCUUUAAGUGGAGAACUGAUGGAACCUCAUAUGAAUGAUCAGUUAUCUAAAAUCUCAGCCCUCAGGAGCAAGGAUCAUGUCGACUCGUCCUUCCCACCAACUGGCCUGACAAACCAUCAGUGGAAGUAGAAUAUCCUUCACAAGACUGGUGAUCAAUGAAAUUUAGGGAGCAGUACAUACCAAAAAGCAAGAAAAAAGAGAUGAGGUAGCAAAGAGUGGUCCACAAUGAUAGAUAGACAGCUCUCCCUUAUUUCCUCCUACUCCAUGAGCAUUACUUUAUUUGUUUUAAGGUUUGUUCCAUUUUCUAUUAUUUAUCUCCUUCCUUUUUUGUUCUCAUUUCCACUGCCACUUUCUUUUUUCUUUCCCCCUUUCAGUGAGGUUACUUGUAUUUUUGCAGGAUUUAUCAAAAUCCUCUGCUGUGUAUAUACCAUAUUUUUAGUCACGAUUUAUGACACUUAUGGCACCAGGCGCCUUUUUCUCCUAUUAUUAGAAUUGCAUUGCUUUUCUCAGCUGCUCUCUGAAAGCUUCAAACUUCAAACGUCUUUCUCAGCUAAGGCCUUGUUUAGUUGGGAUUAAAUUAAUUAAGAAACUUCAAAUUUCCGAAAAAUUAGCAUAUUCAACUUAUUUAAUUAUCAUUUUUUUUCUUACUUUUUGUGAACUUAAAGAAUUUACUUUAUAAUUUACUUAUCCAGAAAUUACUUCCUCAAAAAUUACUUUUCAAAAAAUAAAAAAUUUAACCAAAUAAGACCUAAAUAUACAGUGCAAUUCACAGCUGCAGCCAAAAGAGUUUUGCUGCCAUUCUGAUGCUUGCUCGUUGCUUAGCCGUUAAAGCCAAUAAAGGUACAAAAAUGAUUAUAUAAUCAUGAAGAGCUAUAUGGGGAAUUUAAAAAAAAAAUUAUCAAAAAUACAAAGAUUUUAUUUAAUAAAUGGAAAUUCAGGACUAACGAUGAUUUUAUAUAGAGAUAUAUUUAUUAAUUAUCUUAAUUAUCAUUAUUAAUGGCGGAUGGGAUUAACGAAGUCAACCAAAAAAAAAAGGUGUGUUAAGGGCAUCAUCAUCAUUAAUGGUGGAUGGGAAUAACGAAGUCAACCAAAACAAAAAAUAUUAGGUGUGUUAAGGGAAUAUUAUUAUCAUGUCUUUCGGUCCACUACGCUUCUCUUUUAUUUCUCUUUCUAUUUGAUUUUGGUUGAUCUUAAUUCUUACCAGAAAAUUUCUUAAUCUCUCUUCAAAAAGAUUCUAUCAUUGUCACCUCAUCCUCUCUGCUGUCACUUCGUCCUGCACACAUUCACUUCUUUCUCUCUCUUUAAAUAUCUAAUUUCAACUCUUCACAUUCCUUCAAUAUGUUAUAGCGAUUGCCUUCAAGCCUCCUUUUUAAUCUUCAUCAAGUUUGGCCGGCGAUUUUAGAUUUUUGUUUUUGGUGGUCCCCUCAGUGCUCUUGUGCCUGAUUUCUUUGAUUCCUGACGAGUUUUCUUCAAUCAGCUUUUGAAUGUUGGAGGGAUAAUAGGUGAACUUUGGGGCUCUGAGGUCUCGGUUUGCUGAGUUGGAGAAUAUUGGGAUCUGUUGUCAAUUUGACGUGUGACCUCUUCUGCGCUAUUAUCAAUCGACGGUUUGGAUCCGAUCGGGGGAGAAACAGCGUGAUCAGAUGGCGCUGUUCAGAAACUUCCUUCACCGGAACCCGCCGGAUCGGCUUCUUGAGAUCUCUGAGAGAGUUCAUGGUCCCAUUUGCAUUUUCUUCUCCCCCUUUUUUUCUGGUGGAGCGGCGGGAUAUUGAUUUUUGGGGUAUAUUCUUGAAUUCCGUUCAGAAUGCUGUUUUGUCAUCCUGUGAUAUUUUUGAAAUAAAUCCAAUUAAAUUAUGUUUUUUCAUUUAAGGUUUAACUAAGUUAAAGAGGAAAUUACUGUAGGAUUAUUUGGUUCAUAAUUUUUAACACUAAUUAAAAUAUACUUAUGAUGCAAUCUGUUAAUAAUCUUUGAAACGAAAGAGAUUAUUUAGAAAUUGUAAAAUUAAUCUUAAAAUCUUUAUAAAAUUAAUUUCAAUAUCUAAAUUCAUUUCUCAAUCAAACUAAAUCAUCUAUAUCAAAAAUAAAUUCAUUCAUCAAUUUAAAUUUAUUCUAUAAAAUCAAUAUAAUUUAUCUUCCAAAAUAGUUAUAUUUUGAAAAUAUAAAAAAUAUUUUAAUUAAAAUUAAAAAUUAUAAAAAUAACUAAUAAUUUUCAUUCAAACUUGAAAUUUCAUAAUAAUUUUUUUAAGUUAAAUUUAUUUUUUUAAUAAUUAAAUUUCUUUACUUUUUCUCAAUUAUUAAAUAAGCUAUAUAAUAUUAUUUUUUAAUAAUAAAAUAUUAUUUUUAAUUUAAAAUAUUAAAAAUUUCAAUACUUUAAUUAAUAUAAAAUUAAAUACAAAAAUAUUAAAUAAUUUUUAAAAUCAAAAAAUAAAGUUUUCGUGAUUAAAAAGUAAUAUUUUAAAUUUACAAAUUAUUAUUAAAAAAAUAUUAUAUUAGAUCCAAACUUAUUUAACAUUAAAAAAUAUAUGAGUUUAAUCCGUAAAAAAAAAUUGAAUUAGUCUUUACAUGAAUCUAAUUAGAUUUAUAUCGUUAUUUUUUCUGUUGUAUGAUUGCUUCUGGAGCUCAAUUAGGUUUUAGUGGAAGAGAUGCGAAGAGAGAGAAAAGCGACAGGUCAAGGUUUCUUUUCGCCGGUGGGAGGAGGCUUUCGCCUUAAAGUCCUUUUUCCUUUCGGCGAUGUAUAGUUUAUUUUGUUUAAGACGCUUGUUUCGGUUUGUAUUGAGAUUUCUUUCUUUGGUUGUGAUUGGUCUGUUUUGGUCGAUGUCUGGAGCUGAGGAGGUUGUGGUUCUCACGUCAGAUGCAUUUGGCGGCCACCGCUCCCAUGAGAGCUUUGUCAUGUCGCCUCCCUUCAAGUGGUGCUUGUGGCGGUUCAAGCCUCCUUAUGCGAUGGGUUUGUUUGGUUGUGGGCGACUCUGCUCUGCGUUGAGGUUUGUUUUAGCGGGAUAUGCUCAGUUUUCUUUUCCGAUCUUCUUUUGGCUCUUUCGUCUGGAUUUGUGCAUGUUGUUGUAUUGAGCAGUUGUUGUUUGGAUCUCUGUUUCUCCGACUGUCGGUGAUGCAGACGAUUCCUGGCGGUGACGUGUGAUUCCAGACGAUGAUGACAGAGCUACAUCUGGGCUGUGGUUGGGUUUUUGGUUUGUAUUUGGGCUGGAGUUUGGAUGUUGGGUAUGGGUUGGGUUGUGUUUUGUUAGGCUUGUUUCUACUGUUUGGCCCAAUGGGCUUUUGAAUGCAAUUAUCCUUUGCAUGGUCAAAAAGACAUUUUAGGUUUUAGAAUACCUCUGUUAAUUUAGCUUUAGGAGCUGAAUUAUUGAAGUCUGGCAUUCAUUUCAAAUAAUGCAAUGCAUCUGUUUGGUUCUCUGCAUUCACAUUUUAUUUUAUUUUACUUCAUGCAACAAAUUUUAUAAGUUGUGUUCUUCUGCCUGCUGCCAUCACUUCCUCUCAUUCUCCGGUAGUCAAGGUUCAUAGUCUUGAAAUUUAAAGCUUAGCCGGAGUUGUCGGUUACGCAGAAGUUGAAUAACUUAAUUGAGCUUUUACAAUUUUAUUUCAUGACUAAUGAAUUAGCUUUGUAGCCAAUGGAUUUUACUGCAUAUAUUAAGAGACUGAACUUCCUGUAUUCAUGAUGAUGCUCCCUUUCUUUAUGGACAAUGGUUGCCUCAUUUCCUUUUUCUUUUUGUUCUGUUGUAGUGUUUGAUUGUUGCUUCUCCGCUGACGUGUUGGAAGAAGACGAGUACAAUGUGUACUUGGGUGGCAUUGUGGCACAAUUGCAGGAUAAUUUUCCUGAUGCUUCCUUCAUGGUGUUUAACUUCAGAGAAGGGGACAGGCGGAGCCAAAUAUCAGACAUAUUAUCUCAAUAUGAUAUGACAGUCAUGGAUUAUCCCCGUCAAUAUGAAGGAUGUCCUGUGCUUCCUCUGGAGAUGAUCCACCACUUCCUUCGGUCUAGUGAAAGUUGGCUGUCCUUGGAGGGGUGUUAAUGCAUUGUGAGAGAAGUGGAUGGCCUGCGCUUGCAUUCAUGCUUGCAGGUCUUUUGUUAUAUCAGAAACAGUAUAACGGGGAGCAGAAGACUCUUGAAAUGAUCUACAAGCAAGCUCCUAAAGAACUUAUGCACCUUUUGUCUCCUUUAAAUCCACAACCUUCCCAACUAAGAUUCCUUCAGUACAUCUCUAGGAGAGGUUUUGGUACUGAUUGGCCUCCAUCUGAUACACCAUUGUUGUUAGAUUGCUUGAUGCUCAGGGCCCUUCCAUUGUUUGACGGUGGAAAAGGCUGCAGGCCAGUUGUAGGGGUUUAUGGUCAGGACCGUUCAAAGCCCGCCAACAGAACUUCUAAGCUUCUAUUCAUGAGUUCAAAGACAAAAAAAAAACGUUCGACAUUACCAACAGGUAAUAGUGAUAGUAAGUUGUAUUAUAAAAGAUGACUGGAGAGUUAAUCACAUUAUUAGUUAUUCUUACUAGUUUCAAUUUCAGGAGGAGUGUAUGCUAGUGAAAAUAGAUGUCCAAUGCCGUAUUCAAGGUGAUGUUUUUCUCGAGUGCAUCCAUUUGGAUGAAGAUCUGGUUCAUGAGGAGAUGAUUUUUAGAUUUAUGUUUCAUACAGCUUUUACUAGAGCAAAUAUUUUGAUGCUAUGUCGUGAUGAAAUUGACAGUUGACACUACGUGGGAUGCCAAGGACCGAUUUCCAAAGGACUUUAAGGCAGAGGUAGGUGGUUAUUAUUUUUCAAUUAAAGUUCUCUUUUGAAGCUGUUGGAGUUGAAUGCAUACUCAUAUCUGUAUCAGGUACUUUUUGAGGAUGGUCAUGCUUCCAUUGUGUCUAAUUUCACUGCAUUCAGAGCAAAUGAAGAUGGGAAUGAGGCUGAAAGUGCUUUGCCUGAGGAUUUUUUUGAGGCUGAAGAGAUAUUCAGCAACGCGAUAGUCACACAAGAAGCAAAAGGGCAUUAUGACACUCAUACAGACCAUGACAAUUUGUCAAUAGAUGUAGAACAUAAAGAAGUCUUUAGGGAUACAUUUGAUGAUAGGAGUCACAAAGAGGCUAGAAAGAUGGAUUUUAAUGUUGAUGCAGUGAAGGACAUAGCUCUGAUGAUGUGAAAUACAAGAUGGAUGAGAAGGUAUGUUCUGAUCUUCAAGCAGUGAAAGACAUAGCUGUGGAUGAUGGGGAUCUGAAGAUAGAUUCCAUGGUUGCUGUUGAUACAUUGAGAAACAGGGCAACAACGGAAGUGCAUGAAGAUGGGAGGGGAGAUUUCAAAGAGAUGGAAGCUAAAGCUAUUGGAGAAACCAAUACUACAAAGAUUUUACAAUCCAUGCUUCCGCAGCUAAAGUUGAGUGUUGAUGUUGGUAGACCUGAGAAGGUAGUGCCAACCAUACCAAGGAGCACGAAACCUGUUGGUGCAGAUUCAACUGUAGUGAAAGAAAAAAUCAAACAACCUGAGGCUCAUGGAACUAAUGGGAAACAGGCGAGACCAAAUACAGUACCUCGUUGGGUCCCCCCUAAUACAACUCCUUUAGUCAAUUCAAUGCAUGUAGCACAUCCUCUAUCCAAGUACAAUAGUGCACCACCUAUUCUUGCUUAUUGUGCGUCCCCUAAGGAUUCUAAUGGGGAUGCCCAUGUAAGGAUUUCUCCCGAUACUGCUGCUGCUGGAGAUCUAGCUUCAUAUGAGCUUUCUUCUCCUCCAGUAGUAUCACCACAUCUUGGCCCAACAAAAGUUGUGCCUCCUUGUACCACAACUUUACCUCUACCUCCACCUCCAUUCUAGCAAUGCAUUUUUAUCGAAGACUUCAGUUAAUGUGCCACAUCUGCCUCCUCCUCUGCCACCAUCCCCACCUUCCUCAUCAUUUGUGAGGCAGAAUGUAGAGGUAGUAUCACACAAUAAAUGCUCUCCACCUCCUUCGCCUCCUUUUCCCCCUUUAUCUAAUAGGCAGAAAAUUGAAGUGGUGUUACCUCCUGCACCGCUCCCUUGGAGGUCUGUUUAUAGUUCAAUUGUCCUUGUUUCAAGUGUUCCACCCUCACCACCACCUCCUCCUCCUCAUUCUGUUACAGUGACAGUUCCAAAGGUUGGAGUUGGAAUUCCCCCUCGGCACCUCCACCUAUGAUGGGUACCAAACUGUCACCACCACCACCACCUUCACCUCCUCCUCCAGAACAUGGUGCCCUGCCACUGCACCACCACUCGUAGGAGGAGGUGGCCCUCCUCCCCCACCUCCUCUUGGAGGCCAUGUUCCUAGAAAUUAGCGGUCGCAAACGUUACAGUCUAUUGACCGCCAAACGUUGCGGUUUAUUCUAUUAUAGCUGUCGAAAACGUUAUGGUCUAUAUAAUUUAUAAAUUUUUUAAAAAUUUAAAUUAGUAACAUGUUACGGUCUAUUUUAUAUAAUUUUUAAAUUUUUUAAAAUUUAAAUUAAUAACAUGUUCUUAAAAAGUAUAAGUUUCACGCACAAUCAGAUUCAGAUACAACUACCUGUUUUUUUUUUUUUUUAAUUGUCUAAUCAUACAAUCACCUAGCUACACUCUCCUUUACUCUGUUUCUUUCUACAUUUUUUUUUACUCUCCUUUUUCGUUAGGGCUUCUUCUCGCAUUUUUCUUUUUCAUGGAUUCAACUAUCUUUCUCUUAGUUAUGAUACUCAUCUUGGGCCUCAUAUCAUUUGGCUUCACAUCAGUUUGCUUUUAUCUCUUAAGGAGGGGAUCUAUCCUUCCUGUAAGCACUCAACAGGUUUCCUUUUUUAAUAAGUCUUGAGUUGACACCCAUGGUCUUAACUCGCAGGAAGGCUUUUCCUUCUUAGUGUCCUAAGGUUCCUAUUAUAGUGAGUCUUGAUUAGUUCUAAGGUUCCUAUUAUAGUGAAUCUUGAUCCGAUGCCAAUUGUGUUAACUCACAGCUCUCUUGAAGCUCCAAGGAGAAAUUUCUGUAAGGGAGAAAAUUUCUGGCCAGGAUGCUUUCUCUUCAUUUUCCUUUUCUUUAGAGCUAUGGCUUUAAGAGAGUGUUUUUUCUUCACACCCAUGGACGCUCGCUUAAAUACUUCUUCAGGAUGCUUAAAUACUUCUUCAGGAUGCAUGAUAUUCAUGGUUCAAGAAUUUGAAUUUGUUUAUUUUGUAUGAAGGGAAUGAGGUUUUUUGAAUUCUGAAUUUAUUUUUUUGUAUGUAUAGAAAAAUAUUUUUGUGUAUGGAGCGCAUGGAGAAAAAUAUAAUUGAAAAUAUAUUUCUAAUAUUAAUAUAGUUAAUGUCUAUAUUUUUCUUUUGCGGUUGUAAGUGUGUAAAUAGAAAAUGAAUGUUUGUCCAUCUUAUUUUGUGUUUGUGUUUGCAUCAAAAUCUGAUUGAAUGUUACUUUGAUUGAAUAUUAAUCUGAUUAUUUUUUUAGUUCUGAAUUUAUUUUUUGCAUUUAUAGAAGAAGUUUUUUUGUGUAUGGAGCGCAUAAAAGAUGAUGGAGAAAAAUAUGGUUGAAAAUAUAUUUCUAAUAUUAAUAUAAUUAAUGGUUAUAUUUAUCUUUUCCAUGGUGUAAGUUUGUAAAUAGAAAAUGAAUAUUUGUCUACAUUAUUUUGUGUUUGCAAUAUCUUAUUGAAUGUUAAUGUGAUUGAAUAUUAAUUUGAUUGAAUAGUAAUUUGAUAUUGUAGUUUCUAAUUAAAUGUUAAUCUAAUUGCAGUAUUAGAAAAAACUUAUGAAUUUAAGUACUUCAUCAUCAAUCUCAAAAUCUUUCAAAUCAAUCAGUGCUGCGUUCAUAAAUUUUUCUUGCAAUCAGAUUAACAUUCAAUUAGCAAGUACGAUAUCAAGUUAUCAUUCAAAUAUAUUAACAUUCAAUAAAAACAUUCAAUCAAAUAUCGGUGCAAAUACAGAAUAAUGUGGACAAAUAUUUAUUUUCCAUUUACAAAUUUACCACUAGAGAAGAAAAAUACAGGCAUUAACUAUAUUAAUAUUAAAAACAUAUUUUCAAUCAAAAUUUUCUUCAUCAUCUUAUAUGCAUCCUCUAUGUUCUCCAUACACAAAAAAUAACUUCUUCUAUACAUGUAUAAAAUAAUUUCAGGACCAAAAAAUCUCAUUCUUUUUAUACAAAAUAAACAAAUUUAGCUUCUUGAAUUAUGCAUAUCAUGCAUCCAAAAGAGGUAUCCAAGCGUCCAUGGAUGUGAAGAAGCACUUUCUUCAGGCCAGGACUCACUUUGGAGGAAAGAAAGAUGAAGAGGAAGCACCCGACAAUAAAUCUUCUUAUUUAGAGCUUCAGGAGGGUUGUGAGUUAAUACAAUCGGUGUCAGAUCAUGGCUCACUACAAUAGGAACUUUAGGACUAUAAGGGUUCACUAAGAGAGAGAAGCCCUUCUAGCUGUGAGUUAACACCAUGGGUGUUAACUCAGGGAACACCAUGGGUGUCAACUCAGGGCUCACCAAGAAAAGGAAGCCCUGUUGAGUGCUGACGAGAAGGAAAAGAGGCCCCUCUUCAGGUACCUCCUCAAAAAGUAAAAGCAAACUGAUAUGAAGGCAAAUGAUAUAAAGCCCAAGAUGAACAUCAUAGCUAAGAAAGAUAGUUGAAUCUAUGAAGAACAAGAAAGUAAGAAAAAGAAGCCGCCUUAACGAAGAAUAAGAGUAAGAGAAAUAACAUAGGAAGAAGUAGACUAAGAGAGAGUGUAGUUAGGUGACUAUAUGAUUAGACGAAAGAAAAAAAAAAAAAGAAAGUACCGACAAUGCAGAUGAGUGUAAAUGAUAAUUAAAAUAAAAUAUUUCUCGUAUCAUAAAAUCGAAUUGUUUUCAGGUCGGGUCGGGUCAAAACUGUCAGAUCCAGUUUAUAGAAUUGACCAGACUAAAAAUUUUAAAUUGAAAUAAUACAGCAAUUAGCGGUUAUGUUUUAUUUUAUGCAAUUUAUAAAUUUUUAAAGAAUAUAAAUUAAUAACAUGUUUUUAAAGAGUAUAAGUUUCACACACAACGUCUGUCUAUCUAUUAAUGCAGACAUCUAGCUACACUUUCUUUUACUCUGCUUCUUUCUAUAUGCACAACGAAGAAGAAGUAGAGAAAGAGUGCAGCAAGAAGCAGAGUGCGACUAGAUGGCUAUAUAAUUAGAUUGAAGAAGAAAUAGAAAGUAACUGUAUUUGGUUGUGCGUGAAACAUAUACUCUUUAAAAAUAUGUCACUAAUUUAUACCUUUUUAAAAAUUUAUAAAUUACAUAAAAUGGUAGUUCUCGAUUGCUAAUUUCUGCAUUAUUUUAAUUUAAAAUUUUUAGUCUGUUUAAUAACUGUACUUGCAGUUUUGAUCCAACCUUAUUCAUCGGACCUUAUCCAAGAACAGUAUGAUGAUCCAAGUUCUGUAAAAUAUUUAUGAUACGAGAAAUAUUUUAUUUUCAUUUACACUCGUCGGCGUUGUUGUGCUUCUUUCACUUCUCCUGCUUUGCUCUCGCUUCGCGCUCACUUCAUCGGCGGGUUUUAGUAUGGCUAUAUCUAUGGGGUUUUAUAUGAAUUAGAGCCCAUCUCGGUUUGAUGUCAGUGAUUCCGGUGUUCUUGUUUUGUCCUCUUCGCACGUGUACAGACCGGUGCCAGCCCUUCUGGUCUACCUAAGCCUCCAGGUGUUGCACUGCCUCCGCCAUUAGGUGGUCAAGGAGUUGUAGCUGAUACAGGAGACCUAGCUUCUGGAAGAGGCCAUGGCUUCUCUCGGGGAUCAACUGUCACGGCACCUAGAAGAUCGUCCUUAAAGCCUCUGCACUGGAGCAAAGUAACAAACAAGGGCAUUACAAGGAAGUUUGUGGGAGGAGCUGCAAAGACAUGGGGAGCCCCAAAUGUACUGUAACUUAUUUAUGUAUUUUUUUAGAACUAGUAAUGUCUUUCUGCCACUAUUAUACUUCUGAAAUUUCAAAUUAUGAGUAUCUUACCGGUUUAUGUUUAGUGUUAUUCUUCCUUUAAUUUCUGUGUUGCAUUUUUGUGCUGUAGUGCACCAGAAUUUGAUGUGUCAGAGAUAAGACCCUUUCCUCUGCAACAGUCCCCAAACAUACUGAUUCAGGAGGCAAUGGCGUAGGAAGACUCAAAUCUGUUGGAUCAAAAACCGACAAAGUUCACCUGGUACUCUAAUUAUUCAAUACUUUAACCCUGGUGUUGCCAUACCAUGAAAAAUUGAUGAGUCAUUUGGAUCUGUAGAGGGUUGAUUUCAAUCAGUAGCAAAAGGAAAAAUAAACCAAGAGCUGAGAAUUAAUUGAGGACAUGUAGCUAAAGCCUAAUACAUCACUCGUCAUCACCUGUCACUAUGAACUUAUGAUGGCAAUGACUGAUUUUUUUUAAUCAUAUACUGCUUCCAACUCUUAUCUAUUGAAUUAUGAAAGAAACUUGAACUAAUGUUAUGAUGAAUCAGUAAAACUUGAUAACUCCACCUAUCAAAGUUUAAGCAAUUAGGCGUGUACUUGCCAUCUUGCUAGAUAAAGCUCAUGAAGCAUAAUUACCAGCAUGACUCGUGGUAUAAUUCUUUGCCGCAGGUAAGAAGCAUGGGAAGUGAGCAUCACCGGAUGUAUUUGCUUCAUAGAGUCCUUUUUAGGCAGCUGCAUUUCUCUCUUCUUUAUGUGGAGAACUGAUGGAAGCUCAUACGAAUGAUCAGUCAUCUAAAAUGCCAGCCCUCAGGAGCAAGGAUCAUGUUAACUCGCCUUCCCACCAACUGGCCAGAUAAACCAUCAGUGGAAGUAGAAUAUCCUGCAAAAGACUGGUGAUCAAUGAGGUUUAGAGAGCAGUACAUACCAAAAAGCAAGAAAAGGGAUGAGGUAGCAAAGAAAGGUCCACAAUGAUGGACUGCUCUCCCUUAUUUCCUCGUACUCCAUGAGCACUACUUUAUUUGUUUUUGGGUUUGUUCCAUUCUCUAUUAUUUUUCUCCUUCCACUUUUGAUCUUAUUUCCACUGCCCUUCUCUUUUUCUUUCCUCCUUUCAGUGAGGUUACUUAUUCUUUCGAAAAUUUCCAGGAUUUGUCAAAAUCCUCAGCUGUGUAUAUACCACUCAUGAGUCACGAUUUGUAAGACUUGUGGCACCAGGCGUCUUUACUGCUAUUGUUAGAAUUGCAUUGCUUUUCUGAAAGCUUCAUACUUCCAAGCACUUCUUAGAAUAAAAAUACAGUGCAAUUCACUGGUGCAGCUAAAAGAGUUUUGCUGCCAUUCAGGUGCUUAAUGGUUGUUUAUCCAUUAAUGUCAAUAAAUCAACAAAAAUGAAUAUAUUAUCAUUAAGAGUUGUUCUGGUUCCAGCCCAAACUCGGUUAGUUCACUAAAUUAUAAACUCGUUCUGGGUUAUGGGUGCAGUCUAUAAUUACAAAUGAAUGGGAAUUAUGUGUUACUAUUAUAACAAAAUAUGAAAUAUAUUUAAUUAAUUAUACAUAAAACUCAAAUCCGACUCCAAUUAAAUAAGGAUAUUAUGUAUUCCAAAUUCAAUCAUAUAUUAUAUAAAUUCAUUUUAAUAGACUUUCAAAAAGUUAAUACUGUGAAAAAUGAAUUUGUAUUUAACGAAUGGGUGUAUAUAAAUAUAAAAUUUUAAUUUAAAAUUUUUAUUGAUCGAAAUUUUUACACUACAAUACAUAUAAGAAUUUAAGUGGUAAGGAAAAAGGUUGCUGUUGGACUUCUGGAAUGAAAGAAUUUAAGUGGCUGCAACCUGCAAGCCUGAAUACUGUAAGGAUUUCAAAGCAGCUUGUAAUAAGAUACCUGGAUAGGAUGAAGCAAAAGAAUUAUUUGAGGAUGCAUGGCUGCUCUCCUCAUGUUUGUGUCAUAUAAAGUUGCAAUGAAUUGAUUGAUUGUAUUAAAGAUUGAAUCCUGUUUUAAAGUUGCAAUAAUUCAUGUAAUUUUGUUUGUUAUUGAACAAGCUUCAUGUACAAUGGAGGCAUCUCAUGUAAUUUCCACUUGCAAGUCAAAGACUAAAAGGUUUCUAUGUUUGAGGUCAGUGGGCCUCUUGUUGGGUUCUGUUAGUACAUAGAUUCAUGAACUUAAAAGUAAAAUUUGAACUCGCAUGACAAUUACAGGGUUAAAAAUGUAAUUUAGAUAUUCUGAAUUAUGAAAUAAUAAUCCUUGUUACAUGAAUUUAACCCAAUUUCUUCCUAAAAAAAAAAAGGAUAAAAUUGGAUUUUUGGGGUUUAUGUGGGUUAAGCUUGCAAGGCAAUAAUUGGGAAAUUCCAAGCAUAAUAAUACAAAUAACAAAAUGUAUCAAUCUUUGGAGAUAGAUUACAUAAACCUUAUCUUACCCUAAAUAUCUACUAAUUUAUGCAUGUGCUGUGUCGUUUCAAGGAUAUUGUCGUAAAAUGGUGUUGAAAAUGUAGCAUAUGUACGAAGAACUUGACUCCAAGACUCAACAAAAAUCAAUCAACAUCUGCCGUUGCCUAGCAAUCAGCAACCAUCAAAGGCGUUAUCUAUUAAAGAUGGUGGAUCCUUGAAUAAGGCCAAGCCUUGGCCAACCAUGGGAGGGGGGGGACUCUGUUAUUCACCAUUUGGAUGGAUUCCAUCAUUCUACCCAUAAAAGUGGAAAGGGACCAUUUUCUGUCACCACCACCCAUUUCUUUUUUUUAUGUUCUUUUUUGGCUCCUUACGCUUUAAUUCCUUUCUUGCAUUAUCAACCUUCAAUCCUUAACGUCUCAUCAUCUCAUUUUAAUUCUUACCCAAAAAGAAAAAUCUUAAGUAUAUAAUUGAUCAACUUUGAAUUCUUGUUACAUUGAAUCAAUUUUUAUUCUGUAAAACUCUGUGAUGUAAACAUGAUUAUAAUGUAUUAAGUAUUAAUAAUUAAUAUUAAAUUAAAAUAAUUUUUAUAAAGAGUAAUUAUUAAUAAAAAGAUAAGAAAUAAAUUUAAAAUUAAAAAAAUAAAGAAUAAAAUAAAUAAAAAGAGUACCCAAUGGCUAACUAAGUAGUUCUAAUAUAAAUAGUUUUAAAUAAAAUUAAUUCUUGUAAAAUUUCAAAUAAAAUUUAUUUUUAAUUUAAAAUUAAUUUUUAUAAAAAUUAAAAAAAAUUAAAAUUUUACAUUAUUAAUUUUAUCAAACAUAGAAAUUUAAGAAAAGAAAUUCAUUUCUUUUAAAUUUUUUCAAAAUUAGUCGUUUCAAAUAAGAGCUAAAUAUUUAUAAUUUUAUUAUUUCCUUCACAUUAUAAUUUUUAUUUAUUUUUUAUUUUUUAUUUUUUAUUAUCUCAAAAUUAUUAUUUAUUUUUUAUAUAUAAUUAAUAUAUAAAUUUAUUCUUAUAAUUCUGUUUAAUUUUAUUUUUUAAAAUAAUCUUUUAUUAAUUACUAAAAUAUAUCUUAACACUCUUUUCAUUCCAUAAUUUUUAUUAAUUUUUUUAAUUAUUUUAAAAUUAUUAUCUAUUCUUUAUCUUUUAUCUAUAAUUAAUAUAUAAAUUAUAUAUUAUAAUUUUAUUUUAGUCUAAAAUAAAUUUUUUUUUGAAUUGAGUCUAAAAUAAACUCUUAUUAAUUAUUAAAAUAUCUUCCAAUAUUUAAUAAAAUUUAAUGUUUGAUGAAUACGGUUAAAAAAUUAAAUAAUAUUUUUUUAACAUAUAUAAAAAAAUAAAAUAAAAAAGAAAUUAUGAAAUGAAUAUAAUAUUUAAUAAACUUUAAUAUUUUAAAAUAACUAUAAUUAUAAAUUUUAAAAAAAUUUGUUUUUUAAAUAUAUACAAAAAAUUAAAAUAAAUAAAAGCUACACGAAGGAGGGAGCGUUAGACUGUGACUUAUACAAACCACUCUAUAUGAAUUUGGCUAAUGUAUGUAUAAUAAUAAUUCCUCAUCAAAGAAGUGGGCCCGGUUAACUGCGACUUUGUGCAUUGCAACAAAGCGCCUGUCUUACGAAUAAUUACCCUAACAAAACACGAGGGUUAAUUGCUGACGCUGGGAUUAAUUACCAUAUUCCUCUGCUCCCAAUCACAUGACAUUGUCAUGCACACGCUGUGCCUACAAUCAUCUCCUGGACCCCACACUUCAUCAUCAUCAUCCUUCCAUCUAACUUUUCCUAUCCAAACCCAUCAUCUCCUGCCACGUGGAUCCCGUCAACCUAUCUCCUGCGUCAGAUUUCUUAGAAUCUGGAAUGGCUAAACUUAAUUAAAAGGAUGGUGGUUGAUUAAUUAUUAAUUAAAAAUGGUCAAAAUAGUAAAAUGACAGCAGUCGUAUUUUGCUUGUCCCUUAAUACAAGACACGUAUAAUACACGCGAUUUGGAUUUUGUUUAAUACUAGUAUUUUCUGUAGGUCUACGGAUAGCUUGACACGUAUUUCUCCUUUGCUUCGAAAUUACUGUUUUACCGCCCUUUAACAGCUCAACCGAUCACCUUUCACUAAUAAAAAUUGAAUUUUAUAUUAAAAAGUAAAAAUUAAUUAUUCUCAUGGAGCAACAUAUAUUAUUUAAUUUCAAUGAAUAACAUAAAUAAGGAUAUAUUUUUAUUGAAUUACAUUUAUUAAAAAUAUGUAAAAUUAAAAAAUAAAUUUAUAAAUUUAAAAAAAAUCAUUUCUAAUAAAAAUGUCUGCCUUUUUCAAUAAAAUAAAUUAUCUCAUGGAUUUAAAAACUUUAUUAAUAAUAUAAAUUUUAAAUAAAAAAUAAAUUAUUUUAUUAAAAAUAUUUUUAUACAUUUUUUAAAUAUUAUAUAUUAAAAUAUUUUUCACGUAUAAACUAUUUUUAUGUAAAUCAUUACUUUUUAAUAUUUAUAAUAAUUUAAUCAUUUUAAUUUGAUUUUUAUUAAUAACUUAUUAAGAUAAAUUUAAUAUAAUAAUUAUUUUAUUAAUAAAAUAAAAUUUUAAGAAUUAAAUUAUUUGUUAUUUAAAAUAUAAAAAUAAAUUAUAAAUUUUAUUAAAUCUUAAAUAUUAUAGAGUAAUUAAAAAAAGAAAAAAAAGAAAAAAAAAGCAUGUCUGGUAUUGGUAAUAUUUUGUGUGAUGGGGUGUAAAAAGUUACCAGAUUUACCAGUUUAUCUUGAAUUCCUGAAUGCAGCAUGGACGUUACGAAGGCUGAGCCGACAAUUAUGAGAAACUUUACAGUACUUUGAUGGACCAGAAUAUCCAGGUGGUCUCAACGAAAAGAUUUUAACAUGUACUCGUGCCAAUAAUUUAUCCACUUGAUACAACAAAAUCAUGUGUCCCGAUUUCAUAAAACCAGCCAAUACUUAAAUGGACCCCAACAACUCUGUUUUUCAUUAUUUUUUCCUUUUCUUUUCUUCCACUGAGAAGACAAAACAGCUGAUUUUAAUUCAAAAAAAAAAUGAGACCACGUGAGCAAUGAUGUUUUAGAUCCAAACACCACUUAGACAGGGUCACAACUACACUUUUUUAUCCGAUUAUUAGUUUAUUAAAAUAGAAAAAAAAAUUAAAAAAGGAAAUUUUUAGAAAGUACCAAAUUUAAUACAUGCCAAACAAAAUAGUUUAGCUCCAUUUUAUUAUUUAAUUUUUUAUUAUAAAAAAUUAAUUAAUUAAUUUUUUAUUUUAAAAUUGAAUAAAUAAUUAAUUAAUUUUUUAUAAUAUAAAAAUUAAAUAAUAGUUUUUCUAAUUUGAAUUACUUAGAUUUUUUAUAAACUUUCACCUUGGCUAAUAUGUUUAUUAUUUUUAAAUGUAUUAAUUAUAUUUAUGCAAAUAAAAUAUAAUUAAAAAAAGAGUCGUUAAAUAAAGGGUAGCUGGCUGACUCAUUUCCAUUUUCUAGAUUUGGGUACGCACUAAACGACGAGCUGUCUAGGCACGUCGCGGUUAGGCGAUGAUUGUAUGUGGCACCGCCCCAGAAGACGGGAAACUUCCAGCUCCAAUGUUAUCAACAAAUUCUAUUCAACUGCUUUUUUAGUUUUUACUAUAUCAAGCCCCUGUAUUCAUUAUAUUUAUGCUUUUUUAACUAUAAGUUAUAUUAUAUAAUAAGAUAAAUAUUUAUAUUAAUUUCCAAAAAUAAUAUCAUAGUUAAUGUUUAUCUUAGAAUAUUCAUUUUUAUGUUAUUUAAUUAUUGGUUUAUUCUCAAAAAUAUGAAUUUUUGUAGUAUAAUCAUCUUACAUUGGAUAAAGUUUAAAGAUGACAAAAAAUCAUAACACGCUUGGGUCCUAAACAUGGCAAUCUCAUUAUUUACAAGCAAAGUUUCAAUAAUAAUAUAGUUUAAGCUAAUUAAAACUAGUCUUUUAUUAAUUUAAUUUCCUUUUUAUAGUUUGUUUAUUAAUUUACAAAUAAAUUAUCGGUAAAAAAUAAUGUUAUUAUGAUUAGCAAUACGCAGGAGCCAGGGGUGGAUGGAUUAAUGGAGCCAACCAAAACCAAAAAUAUAGGUGUCUUAAUUUUGUCUUUCAGUCCACUGCGCUUCUCUCUUUAUUUCCAUUCCCUUUUAUUUCUCUCCCCAUUUGAUUUUGCUUGAUCUUAAUUCUUACAAGAAAAUUUCUCAAUUUCCCUAGAAAAAAAAUUUUAUCAUCAUUUUCACCUUCAUCCUCUCUACUGUCACUUCGUCCUGUACACAUUCACUUAUUUCUCUCUCUCUUUAAAUUAUCUAAUUUCAACUCUUCACAUUCAUUCAAUAUGUUAUAGCAAUUGCCUUCAAGUUUCCUUUUUAAUCUUCCUCAAGUUUGGCCGGAGAUUAGAGAUUUUGUCAUUGUGCCUGAUUUCUUUGAUUCGUGGCGAGUUUUUCUUCUAUCAGCUUUUGAAUGUUGGAGGAAUAUUGUUGAAUUUCGGGGCGCUUUGAGGUCUCGGUUUGCUGAGUUGGAGAAUAUUGGGAUCUGCUGUGAAUUUGACGUCAAUUGUGACAUUUUCUGUGAUAUUAUCAAUCAACGGUUUGGAUCCGAUCGGGGGAGAAACAGCGCCAUCAGAUGGCGCUGUUCAGACGCUUCUUUUACCGGAAGCCGCCGGAUCGGCUUCUUGAGAUCUCUGAGAGAGUUUAUGGUACCAUUUGCAUUUUCUUUUUCCCUUUUCUCUUUUUGGUGAGGCGGCUGGAUAUAGAUUUUUGGGGCAUUUUCUUGAAUUCUUGCAGAAUGCUGUUUUGUCUCAUUAUGACCUAUUUUCGUUUGCAAUUCUUUUCUUCUAGUCGCACGAUUGCUUCUGGAGCUCAAUUAGGUUUUAGAAUUCCUCUGUUAAUUUAGCUUUUAGAGCUGAAUUAUUGAAGUUUGGCAUUCAUUUUCAAAUAAUGCAAUGCAUUCUCUUUGGUUCUCUGCAUUCACAUUUUAUUUUAUUUGAUGCAACAAAUUUUAUAAGCUGUGGCAUUCUUCAUUUCUUCUGCCUGCUGCCAUCACUUGCUCUCAUUCUCCGGUAAUCAAGGUUCAAAGUCUUGAAGUUUAAAGUUUAGCCGGAGUUGUCAGGUUACCCAGAAGUUGAAUAACUUAAUUGAGCUUUUACAAUUCGAUUUCAUGACUAAUGAAUUAGCUUUAUAGCCAAUUGAUUGUACUGCAUAUAUUAAGAGACUGAACUUCCUGUAUUCAUGAGGAUACUCCCUUUCUUUAUGGUCAAUGCUUGCCUCAUUUCCUCUUUCUUUUUGUUUCUAUUGUAGUGUUUGAUUGUUGCUUCUCCACUGAUGUGUUGGAAGAAGACGAGUACAAAGUGUACUUGGGUGGCAUUGUGGCACAAUUGCAGGAUCAUUUUCCUGAUGCUUCCUUCAUGGUGUUUAACUUCAGAGAAGGGGACAGACGGAGCCAAAUAUCAGACAUAUUAUCUCAAUAUGACAUGACAGUCAUGGAUUAUCCUCGUCAAUAUGAAGGAUGUCCUGUGCUUCCUCUGGAGAUGAUCCACCACUUCCUUCGGUCUAGUGAAAGUUGGCUGUCCUUGGAGGGGCAGCAAAAUGUGUUGUUAAUGCACUGCGAGAGAGGAGGAUGGCCUGUGCUUGCAUUCAUGCUUGCAGGUCUUUUGUUAUAUCGGAAACAGUAUAAUGGGGAGCAGAAGACUCUUGAAAUGAUCUACAAGCAAGCUCCUAGAGAACUUCUGCACCUUUUGUCUCUUUUAAAUCCACAUCCUUCCCAACUAAGAUACCUUCAGUACAUUUCUAGGAGAAAUUUGGGUACUGAUUGGCCUCCAUCUGAUACGCCCUUGGUGUUAGAUUGCUUGAUGCUCAAGGCCCUUCCAUUGUUUGAGGGUGGAAAAGGCUGCAGGCCAGUUGUACGGGUUUAUGGUCAGGACCAUUCAAAACCCGCUAACAGAACUUCUAAGCUUCUAUUCACGAGUUCAAAGACAAAAAAACAUGUUCGACAUUACCAAAAGGUAAUAGUGAUAGUAAGUCAUAUUAUAAAAAAUGACUGAAGUGUUAAUCACAUUAUUAGUUAUUCUUACUAGUUUCAAUUUCAGGAAGAGUGUAUGCUAGUGAAAAUAGAUAUCCGAUGCCGUGUUCAAGGUGAUGUUGUUCUUGAAUGCAUCCAUUUGGAUGGCGAUCUUGUUCACGAGGAGAUGAUUUUUAGAGUUAUGUUUCAUACAGCAUUUGUUAGAGCAAAUACUUUGAUGCUACGUCGUGAUGAAAUUGACACUAUGUGGAAUGCCAAGGACCAAUUUCCAAAGCACUUUAAGGCAGAGGUAGGUGGUUGUUAUUUUUCAAUUAAAGUUCUCUUUUGAAGCUGUUGGAGUUGAAAGCAUACUCAUAUCUGGAUCAGGUACUUUUUGCGGAUGGUCAUACUUCCAUCGUGCCUAAUCUCUCCACACUCAGAGCAAAUGAAGAUGGGAAUGAGGCUGAAAGUGCUUCGCCUGAUGAGUUUUUUGAGGCUGAAGAGAUAUUCAGCAAUGCGAUAGACACACAAGAAGCAAAAGGGCAUUAUGACACUCAUUCAGACCAUGACAAUUUGUCGGUAGAUGUAGAACAUAAAGAAGUCUUUAGGGAUACAUUUGAUGAUAGGAGUCACAAAGAGGCUAAAAAUAUGGAUUUUAAUGUUGAUGCAGUGAAGGACAUAGCUGUGGAUGAUGUGAAAUACAAGAUGGAUGAGAUGGUAUAUCCUGAUCUUCAAGCAGUGAAAGACAUAGCUGUGGAUGAUGGGGAUCUGAAGAUAGAUUCCAUGGUUGCUGUUGAUACAUUGAGAAACAAUGCAAUAAAGGAACUGGAUGAAGAUGGGAGGGGAGAUUUCAAAGAGAUGGAAGCUAAAGCUAAUGGAGAAACCAAUACUACAGAGAUUUUACAAUCCAUACUUCCACAGCUAAAGUUGAGUGUUGAUGUUGGUAGACAAAAACCUGAGAAGGCAGUGCCAACCGCACCUAGGAGCAUGAAACCUGUUGGUGCAGAUUCAACUGCAGUGAAAGAAAAUAUCAAACAACCCGAGCCUCAUGGAACUAAUGGGAAACAAGCGAGGCCAAAUACUGUACCUCGUUGGGUGCCCCCUAAUAAAGCUCCUUUUGCCAAUUCAAUGCAUGUAGCACAUCCUCCAUCCAGAUACAAUAGUGCACCACCUGCUCUUGCCUUUUGUGCUUCCCCUAAGGAUUCUAAUGUGGAUGCCCAUGCAAGGACUUCUCCUGAUGAUGAUGCUGCUGCUGGAGAUCUAGCUUCUUAUGAGCCUUCUUCCUCUCCAGUAGUAGCAGCACAUCUUUGCUCAGCAAAAGUUGUGCCUCCUUGUUCCACAACUUUACCUCGGCCUCCACCUCCUCAUUCUAGCAAUGCAUUUUUGCCUAAGACUUCAGUUAAAGUGCCACCUCCACCUCCACCUCCACCUCCCUCAUCACUUGUGAGGCAGAAUGUAGAGAUAGUUUCACACCAUGAAUCCCCUGCACCCCCUCCGCCGCCUCUUCCCCCUUCAUCUAAUAGGCAGAAAAUUGGAGUGGUGUUACGUCCUGCACCUUCUUCACUCCCUUGGAAGUCCCUUUUUAGUUCAGUUGUCCUUGCUUCAAGUGUUCCACCUCCACCAGCACCAUCGGCACCACGACCUCCUCCUCAUCAUUAUGUUACAGAAACAGUUCCAAAGGUUGGAGUUGGAAUUCCAUCUCCACCUCCACCUCCACCUCCACCUAUGGUGGGUACUNNNNNNNNNNNNNNNNNNNNNNNNNNNNNNNNNNNNNNNNNNNNNNNNNNNNNNNNNNNNNNNNNNNNNNNNNNNNNNNNNNNNNNNNNNNNNNNNNNNNNNNNNNNNNNNNNNNNNNNNNNNNNNNNNNNNNNNNNNNNNNNNNNNNNNNNNNNNNNNNNNNNNNNNNNNNNNNNNNNNNNNNNNNNNNNNNNNNNNNNNNNNNNNNNNNNNNNNNNNNNNNNNNNNNNNNNNNNNNNNNNNNNNNNNNNNNNNNNNNNNNNNNNNNNNNNNNNNNNNNNNNNNNNNNNNNNNNNNNNNNNNNNNNNNNNNNNNNNNNNNNNNNNNNNNNNNNNNNNNNNNNNNNNNNNNNNNNNNNNNNNNNNNNNNNNNNNNNNNNNNNNNNNNNNNNNNNNNNNNNNNNNNNNNNNNNNNNNNNNNNNNNNNNNNNNNNNNNNNNNNNNNNNNNNNNNNNNNNNNNNNNNNNNNNNNNNNNNNNNNNNNNNNNNNNNNNNNNNNNNNNNNNNNNNNNNNNNNNNNNNNNNNNNNNNNNNNNNNNNNNNNNNNNNNNNNNNNNNNNNNNNNNNNNNNNNNNNNNNNNNNNNNNNNNNNNNNNNNNNNNNNNNNNNNNNNNNNNNNNNNNNNNNNNNNNNNNNNNNNNNNNNNNNNNNNNNNNNNNNNNCAGGAUAUGGAGCCCCAUCGCCACCACCUCCUCCAGGACAUGGAGCUCCACCGCCACCACCCCCACCCGGAGGAGGAGGUGGCCCACCUCCCCCACCUCCUCCUGGAGGGCAUAUUCCUGGCCCUCCUGGUCCACCUGGACCUCCAGGUGUUGGACCCCCUCCACCUCCCCCAUUAGGUGGCAAAGGAGCUGUAACUGAUACAAGAGGCUUAGCUUCUGGAAGAGGCCGUGGACGGGGAUCAACUGCCACAGCAUCUAGAAGAUCGUCCUUAAAGCCUCUGCAC